rnacentral:misc_RNA from 1 species
GAUGAAGAACGCAGCGAAAUGCGAUAAGUAAUGUGAAUUGCAGAAUUCAGUGAAUCAUCGAAUCUUUGUACGCACAUUGCGCCCUCUGGUAUUCCGGGGGGCAUGCCUGUUCGAGCGUCAUUACAACCCUCAAGCUGUGCUUGGUAUUGGACAUUGCCAGUUUCUGGCAGGUCUUAAAAUCAGUGGCGGUGCCAUUUGGCUUCAAGCGUAGUAAUUCUUCUCGCUUUGGAGAUCCAGGUGGUUACUUGCCAAUAACCCCCAAUUUUUUCAGGUUGACCUCGGAUCAGGUAGGGAUACCCGCUGAACUUAAGCAUAUCAAUAAGCGGAGGA